rnacentral:rRNA from 1 species
AUACGGAGGAUGCGAGCGUUAUCCGGAUUUAUUGGGUUUAAAGGGUGCGCAGGCGGCCAUUUAAGUCAGCGGUUAAAUCGUGGGGCUCAACCCCAUUCUGCCGUUGAUACUGGGUGGCUUGAUUGCGGUCGAGGUUGGCGGAAUUCGUUGUGUAGCGGUGAAAUGCAUAGAUAUGACGAAGAACACCGAUUGCGUAGGCAGCUGACCAGACCGCAAAUGACGCUCAUGCACGAAAGUGCGGGGAUCGAACAGGAUUAGAUACCCUGGUAGGCCGCACAGUAAACGAUGAAUACUUGUUUUCGGCGAUAUAAUGUCGGAGGCAAAGCGAAAGCGAUAAGUAUUCCACCUGGGGAGUACGCCGGCAACGGUGAAACUCAAAUGAAUUGACGGGG